CUUUGGCAGUGAUGAUACAACCGUUCAGCUUAAAAUGCCAGUUCUGCUUCUGACAAUUCAUGACAGAUAGAGCUGAUUCAAAAUCUGAGCCUUGA
rnacentral:snoRNA from 1 species